GUGAGGAAUAUUGGUCAAUGGGCGGGAGCCUGAACCAGCCAAGUCGCGUGAAGGAAGAAGGAUCUAUGGUUCGUAAACUUCUUUUGCAGGGGAAUAAAGUGCGGGACGUGUCCUGUUUUGUAUGUACCCUGAGAAUAAGGAUCGGCUAACUCCGUGCCAGCAGCCGCGGUAAUACGGAGGAUCCGAGCGUUAUCCGGAUUUAUUGGGUUUAAAGGGUGCGUAGGUGGUUUGAUAAGUCAGCGGUGAAAGUUUGCAGCUUAACUGUAAAAAUGCCGUUGAAACUGUCGGACUUGAGUGUAAAUGAGGUAGGCGGAAUGCGUGGUGUAGCGGUGAAAUGCAUAGAUAUCACGCAGAACUCCGAUUGCGAAGGCAGCUUACUAAGCUACAACUGACACUGAAGCACGAAAGCGUGGGGAGCAAACAGGAUUAGAUACCCGUGUAGUCC
rnacentral:rRNA from 1 species